GCUGAAACUCGCCUACAUGAAGCUGGAGUUGCUAGUAAACGCAGAUCAGAAUGCUGCGGUGAAUGCGUUCCCGGGUCUUGUACACACCGCCCGUCACACCACGGGAGUUGGAGACGCCCGAAGCCGAUUAUCUAACCUUUUGGAAGAAGUCGUCGAAGGUGGAAUCAAUAACUGGGGUGAAGUCGUAACAAGGGUGCCCUCUCGGCAGGUGCGCCUGGAUCACCUCCUUU
rnacentral:rRNA from 1 species